CAGUAGCCGCGGUAAUACGAAGGGGGCUAGCGUUGCUCGGAAUGACUGGGCGUAAAGGGCGCGUAGGCGGUUUAUACAGUCAGAUGUGAAAUUCCUGGGCUCAACCUGGGGACUGCAUUUGAUACGUAUGGACUUGAGUGGAGAAGAGGGUUGUGGAAUUUCCAGUGUAGAGGUGAAAUUCGUAGAUAUUGGAAAGAACACCGGUGGCGAAGGCGGCAACCUGGUCUUCAACUGACGCUGAGGCACGAAAGCUAGGGGAGCAAACAGGAUUAGAUACCCCAGUAGUCCCUGUCUCUUAUAC
rnacentral:rRNA from 1 species